CACGUAGUUGGCCGGUGCUUCUUCUGCCACUACCGUCACUUGCGCUUCGUCAUGGCUGAAAGAGGUUUACAACCCGAAGGCCGUCAUCCCUCACGCGGCGUCGCUGCGUCAGGCUUCCGCCCAUUGCGCAAUAUUCCCCA
rnacentral:rRNA from 1 species